UACGUAGGGUGCAAGCGUUGUCCGGAAUUAUUGGGCGUAAAGAGCUCGUAGGCGGUCUGUUGCGUCGGCUGUGAAAACCCGGGGCUCAACCCCGGGCCUGCAGCCGAUACUGGCAGACUAGAGUUCGGCAGGGGAGACUGGAAUUCCUGGUGUAGCGGUGAAAUGCGCAGAUAUCAGGAGGAACACCGGUGGCGAAGGCGGGUCUCUGGGCCGACACUGACGCUGAGGAGCGAAAGCUUGGGGAGCGAACAGG
rnacentral:rRNA from 1 species